rnacentral:piRNA from 1 species
CUAACCUAGAACACAAACUCUUGCUGA